rnacentral:ncRNA from 2 species
AGAGUUAAAAGUACGUGAAAUUGCUAAAAGGGAAACGAUUGACGUUAGCAUUACUGUAUGAAAAUCAAUUGUUUUGGGUAACUGAAACGGUGCAUUUUUUAUACGACUUGUCAACAACAGCUCUGAAUGUUGCACAAGGCUAAGUGAAGGUAGCUACUUCGGUAGUGUUAUAGCACUUGGUCAUUCAACUUUCGGGGCUGAGGAAUGCAGUGUAGGCUUUACGCAGAUCUACCAGAGUCUGGCGUCUGGUGUUGCUUGGACAGCAUGCUGACCAGGUGAUACUCAGAUUCCAUCACUUUGACUAGGUUCUUCUACACUCAGGUUGUUGAUAGAAUAACGUUAAACGACC